rnacentral:rRNA from 1 species
UACGUAGGUGGCAAGCGUUGUCCGGAUUUACUGGGUGUAAAGGGGGCGCAGGCGGGAAGCUAAGUUGGAUGUGAAAUACCGGGGCUCAACUCCGGAGCUGCAUCCAAAACUGGUUUUCUUGAGUGGAGUAGAGGCAAGCGGAAUUCCGAGUGUAGCGGUGAAAUGCGUAGAUAUUCGGAGGAACACCAGUGGCGAAGGCGGCUUGCUGGGCUCUAACUGACGCUGAGGCCCGAAAGCGUGGGGAGCAAACAGGAUUAGAUACCCCCGUAGUCCCUGAG